rnacentral:rRNA from 1 species
AGAGUUUGAUCAUGGCUCAGAUUGAACGCUGGCGGCAGGCCUAACACAUGCAAGUCGAGCGGUAACAGGAAGUAGCUUGCUACUUCGCUGACGAGCGGCGGACGGGUGAGUAAUGCCUGGGAAUAUGCCUUGAUGUGGGGGAUAACUAUUGGAAACGAUAGCUAAUACCGCAUAAUGCCUACGGGCCAAAGAGGGGGAUCUUCGGACCUCUCGCGUCAAGAUUAGCCCAGGUGGGAUUAGCUAGUUGGUGGGGUAAAGGCUCACCAAGGCGACGAUCCCUAGCUGGUCUGAGAGGAUGAUCAGCCACACUGGAACUGAGACACGGUCCAGACUCCUACGGGAGGCAGCAGUGGGGAAUAUUGCACAAUGGGGGAAACCCUGAUGCAGCCAUGCCGCGUGUAUGAAGAAGGCCUUCGGGUUGUAAAGUACUUUCAGCAGUGAGGAAGGUGGUAGUGUUAAUAGCGCUAUCAUUUGACGUUAGCUGCAGAAGAAGCACCGGCUAACUCCGUGCCAGCAGCCGCGGUAAU